rnacentral:lncRNA from 1 species
CGAAACCAGCCGCGCCCCCACCCUUGGCCUUUGAUUUUUUACACGGAGACCAGCCCCUCUCCUUCAUCUGGGUUACUCUCCCUCACGGGAUCUCCUCCUUUUAGCCAAACCAGAGAAACCCCUGCUUUGGUCUUUGAGAAUUCUCGGUUUCCCUCUUCAGCCGGCCAUAGAUCAGCAGUCUUCUCUCUCAGCCGGCCAAAACCUGAUCUCCUCCCUCAC